CCUACGGGUGGCUGCAGUGAGGAAUAUUGGUCAAUGGCCGGAAGCCUGAACCAGCAAAGCCGCGUGAAGGACGAAGGUGCUAAGCAUUGUAAACUUCUUUUGUCAAGGGACAAAAUCAGGCUCGAGAGCCUGACCGAGGGUACUUGAAGAAAAAGCAUCGGCUAACUCGGUGCCAGCAGCCGCGGGAAUACGGAGGAAGCGAGCGUUAUCCGGAUGUAUUGGGUGUAAAGGGUGCGUAGGCGGGCUGUAAAGUCAGCGGUAAAAGCCCGGGGCUAACCCCCGGCGAGCCGUUGAAACUGGCUGUCUUGAGAGGACGAGAGGUAUGCGGAAUGCGCAGUGUAGCGGUGAAAUGCUUAGAUAUUGCGAGGAACUCCAGUGGCGAAGGCGGCAUACCGGCGGCGAUCUGACGCUGAGGCACGAAAGCGUGGGUAUCGAACAGGAUUAGAUACCCCAGUAGUC
rnacentral:rRNA from 1 species